AGUGAACGCUGGCGGUAGGCCUAACACAUGCAAGUCGAACGGCAGCACAGUAAGAGCUUGCUCUUACGGGUGGCGAGUGGCGGACGGGUGAGGAAUACAUCGGAAUCUACUUUUUCGUGGGGGAUAACGUAGGGAAACUUACGCUAAUACCGCAUACGACCUACGGGUGAAAGCAGGGGAUCUUCGGACCUUGCGCGAUUGAAUGAGCCGAUGUUGGAUUAGCUAGUUGGCGGGGUAAAGGCCCACCAAGGCGACGAUCCGUAGCUGGUCUGAGAGGAUGAUCAGCCACACUGGAACUGAGACACGGUCCAGACUCCUACGGGAGGCAGCAGUGGGGAAUAUUGGACAAUGGGCGCAAGCCUGAUCCAGCCAUACCGCGUGGGUGAAGAAGGCCUUCGGGUUGUAAAGCCCUUUUGUUGGGAAAGAAAAGCAGCGGGUUAAUACCCCGCUGUUCUGACGGUACCCAAAGAAUAAGCACCGGCUAACUUCGUG
rnacentral:rRNA from 1 species